AUGCCCCCAACCCGCAGCCACCACCUCCACCUUCCAGCCGCCGCCCCCACCUCCAUUUUCGUGCCCGGCCAACCUCCUCGCCACCACUUGGCGCGCUGUCAAUGGCCAGCCGCCGCCAGCGCCGCCGCCCCGACCAACCGGGCGCCUCCACGUCUCCCUGCCUCCCUCCACCUCCCGUGGCCCUCAGGGCCCACUGGAGCCCGCCCCGAGCCCAUCCAGGGCCCGAGCCACCGCCGCCCUCGCGUCCGAGCUCCCUGUGCGGGAGAGCUCCCGAUCCAGCGUGUCCUCGCCGCCUCGCUGACCCGCCAUCCGCGCUCGUCGGCGACGAGCGCCGCCCAUCGUCGGAGACCUCCAGCAGGCCAGUGCGCCCUUGCCUCCUUCCUUUCCCCGCUCUCUCCCUCACGCCCUCUCGGCUUUCCUCGCAGGGACCCUCCAUGGCGCGCCGAGCUCGGAUCUCCGCCCGCUGCCGUUGUCUAUCGUCAUUCCGCGUCGAGAACGAGGCUGCCCACUCGGAUCUUCCCGCCCAGGCCUUUUCCUUGUCGGAUCCGGCGGAUCCCGCCCGGAUCCGCUCGCCGGUGCUCGUCCGCGGCCUCCCUUCGCGUCGGCAUCAACCUCCUACCGCCGUCCAGCGUCCGCUCGCGUGUGUUGACCGCGUGUGGCCGCGGGUGGGCCAUGACCUCCCCGACCCAGCAUCGCCAGCAGCUCCAAGGCCUGCAUCCGCUCCCUGUCAGCCUCGCCUUGUGCCUCAUCACGGCCCAGCAAGGCGCUGCGGCCCAGCCUCUCCUCCAGCCGGGCUUGGCCCAAUGUGAGCAGCUCCCAGCACCUCCAGUUUCAGCCCGUUGUUUUUUCCUGAUGCUGCGAUUUUCGCAAUUAACCAGAGACUGCAGUUUUUACAGAAAAGUCCCUCUAGAUCAUCCAUUUCAUAUCUCAUGA
rnacentral:rRNA from 1 species